CUUCAGUCUGUACCAUGGAUAAGUUCUGGGUCUUGUUCUUCUGGCUGACCGCCUGCACUGGAGAUGUUAGCUCUAGCUCACGUAGAGCCUUGUACUGACCUACUGAGUCCAUUGUUGGAGCUUCAGCUGUUCCCCUUGGCAGCUGUGCACCUCCUAUCUCUGAGAUCAGAAAGAAUAGCAAGAGGAUUGCUCAAGGGCAACGGAUCGGAAACACCCAUAAAAGAUGCAGGAAUGUGGUCGUGUGCUUCAGCUGCAGCAUUUAGGAUGUCAGUGUGAUUUUUUUUUUCUUUAUAAAAGUUGUUGGGUAUAGGUGUGUACAUAUUUGAGAUCUCACUAAUGAAAUAAGAUAUGAACAUUUGUCUGAAAAUAAUAUAUAUGCAAAAUGCUAAACUGAUAGGAAAUUAAUUCAGUUUUUAGAUCAUUACUUUGUUAUGACUAUCUCGGCCUUUGAGGGUAAGUUGAUCAGUAUUCAGCACUGUGUCCUUCUUAGCAUGUAUUAGUUAACCAAACAGAAAGACUCCUACAAAACAUUUGUUCUCUCCCUGCCUCCCCCCAGCCUCCAUCACGUUUGAGCUAAUUCGAGUGAAGGAGGAAGGUGGCUGAAGUCAGUUGCUUCUUAUUUUCCUUUCAAGGGUGAUAUUUCAGUGGAUGUGGAAAGGAAAAAAAAAAAAAGCUUGAAUUUUGAAUUCUAAAUUGAAAUUGACUCUAAGUUUAAUGUGUGGACCCAGCAAUGUAGUCAGAUGCCAGAAGGUGUGUAUAGGGUUUUUUGCCCCAUCAAAGAAAAAUACUUUCUGAAGAAAUGCAGAAAAAUAUACUCUAAAGCUAAUGAGAAAUUUUGCUUUGAAACUGUGGGUGUCUUACUGAGAUAACAUAGCACAUCUCUUGACUGUUGCAGGACCGCUGCUGGAUUACUGUCCCUGGAUAUUAGCAUAGCUGUCUUUCUGCAUGGAAAACAAGAAGAAGCACUUGUGUCCUAACUUCUUCAGGAGCUUAAAAAGACCUUCCUCUUGCUUCAGAGAUAAGAUUUCAGUGUAUGAAGAUCCUACUGGUGAUGCAAUUUUUCUGAUAAAUUCCAUGAGAGCAGGAAUAAUGCCUACUGCUGUGGUCCCUGGGGAGAUGCACAUUGCUUUCGCUCAUCACGUUCAUCCCACCUCCAGGAAUUACAUCCCAGUAUUUGUCAGUGGCAUUUUUCAAAGAGCUAUGGUGCUGUGGUCCGCUAAUUCCUGUCACUUUAAGGUUUGCACUGAACAGUUUGAGAAUGUGGUUUUUUUCAUGUAAAAUAAAAAUUUGGAUGCUUUUUCA
rnacentral:lncRNA from 1 species